rnacentral:pre_miRNA from 1 species
AAUAAGUAUAGCCAUGGUUUUCCGUGUCCAACUUUAAUCGUUUGUCUUAUUUAAUUUUUUUUUUAAAAAAAUUAAAAACAUAAGUUACGAGUAAAGUACUAUUCAUAUUUUAUCAUCUCAUAACAAUAAAAAUGCUAAUUAUAAAAAAAUUUAAAUAAGACAGACGAUCAAAGUUGGGCGCGGAAACUCAUGGCUACACUUAUU